AAGGAUUUAAGUUAACUAUUAAACUAUCAACCUUCAAAGCUGAAAAUAGAUUUUAUCUAAGCCUUG
rnacentral:tRNA from 1 species